rnacentral:lncRNA from 10 species
GGAUUAAUCCCAAGGAGUAGUUUCUCUGCACAUUCUCCACCAGACAGUAGCUCUUCAUUAGGAUGCCUUGAUACUCUGAUGUGGUGCCACCACAUGCUCCCAAAGCAAGUCUCUUCCCUCUGGCAGCAGAGAAGCGGAUUUUCUGCUCAACCUGCUUUGAUCACCAAAUGAGUCAGGGAGAAGAACAUGGAUGGAAAUAUCCUCAGUCAAGAACUUCACAAGCACCAGUUGCUUUAACCAGGGGCUCUAGAAAUUUUCUAGAAUAAAUG